rnacentral:rRNA from 1 species
AUUGAACGCUAUCGGGAUGCUUUACACAUGCAAGUCGAACGAGUGGCGGACGGGUGAGUAAUAUAUCGGAACGUGCCCAGUAGCGGGGGAUAACUACUCGAAAGAGUGUCUAAUACCCCCUACUAUGUGAGCGGCCGAUAUCGGAUUGGCGAGGUGGUGGGGUAAAGGCUCACCAAGGCAACGAUCCGUCGCUGGUGUGAGAGGACAACCAGCAACACGGGGACGGAGACACGGCCCAGACUCCAACGGGAGGCAGAAGUGGGGAAUUUUGGACAAUGGGGGAAACCCGGAUCCAGCAAUCCCGCGUGUAGUAGAAGCCCUUCGGGUGGUAAAGUACUUUUGGCAGAGAAGCGGUAUCUGCAGAAUAAGCACCGGCUAACUACGUGCCAGCAGCCGCGGUAAUUC